UCCACUGUUGCGUUUUUCAUACGUACGUAUACGCACGUAAAACUUUAAAUCCGUUUCAAUGUUACUUAUGAAAUAACCAAAUAAAUAAAGUAACAGAAUUUAGUGUUCUGCAAGUUAUUAUUAUCUUAUUUGUAAAAUAUUUUAAAAAUAGGAGGAUUCAAAGUUUUACGUGCGUGUACGUGCGUACGAAAAACGCAACAGUGGA
rnacentral:miRNA from 1 species